CUUGUUUAUGUCAAAGUGCUAAAACAAACAGUUUCCACUGUUCAUAAACCCGAGAAAAAAAAAAUUACUCGAGAUCAAUGUCGAUGAUGACGGUGUGGGCACUUCGGCGUAAUGUUCGCCGGAAAAGUUACUCGAGUAAUAUCGCCCAUGGCGAAACCAAGUCGUGGUCGUCGUUCCCCUUCUUUGUCUGGCUCUUCUUCUCGUUCCAGCUCCAGAUCCCGUUCCCGCUCUGGUUCGAGUCCCUCUAGGUCUCUUUCGCGCUCCCGCUCCCGUUCUAGAUCGCUCUCUUCAUCUUCAUCUCCGUCCCGGAGCGUCAGUUCUGGGAGUCGCAGUCCUCCAUGUCGUGGAGAAAGUCCUGCUAGGCGAGGUCGCUCUCCUCCUCCACAAUCUAAAGGAGCCUCUUCACCUUCUAAGUAAUUUAUAAACUCCUGUCUCGUGCACAUAAUUCAUGCUUUCUUCAGAUGCUCAGUUUUGCUGACUUUACAAUCUAAGUCUUCACCAAGAACGCUCGAUGGGUUUUUAAAGUUGAAUUUUAGGUAAAAGAGAGGAACUUGUUCUGUUUAUGUGUGUGAAAGAAUCAGCUUUUUAUAAAAAGAAAAUGGGAGAAGGAGAAGAAAAUGGUAACGAAGCAGAUUCAAAUGAGAGAACUUUGGCAUUAUCACCUACUUGGUCUGUUGCUAUUGUGUUGACUGUCUUCGUUGUUGUUUCUGUGAUCGUUGAGCGCUCCAUUUAUCGUCUUAGCACUUGGUUGAGGAAGACAAAGAGGAAACCCAUGUUUUCUGGAUGGCCUAAAAUUUCAUUUGAAAAUGAAGUAGAUUACUCUUGUAGCAAAGGCUAACAGAAGCUCAGAGGCAUUAUUUGCAGACCUUUGCUACUUUUCUGUUCGAUCAGUCCAGGUAAAUGUGAAGAGUAGAAUGGCCUUUGGUGGCCGAUGUUUACCUUUAGUUUUUGAAUCUUACAAGUUUUUGGAUCACUUCAAGAUUUGUCUUUUCAUGUUUCUGUAUUUGACCAAGAAGUCAAUAUUCAGAUAUUCUUGGUUAAGAUGGUGAUGUUGGUUGUGAUGCCAUGGAGUUCUUGUUGUAAACGUAACUUUCCUCUCUCUUUUCUUUUAUGCAUUUUACUCUUUGCAAGAGAUGUCUUUGCUUCGUGAUUGUUAAUCUGCAAGCUUAUAAUCUACAAGUUGUCACGAGACUGGUCAUUAAUUGACUUUGCAAAGUCUGUGCUCACAAAGAUUUAACUCCCUUGA